CCUUCGGAAUAAAGUAAAGUACAAAUUACGGUUUGCUAGGCGUUAGGUGUUAGGCAUAGGGCGAUAGGCGGCGCGGCUAACCAUUCUCUUCCAGGUACAAACUAACCUUCUCUUCCAGGUACAUGUUAAUUUUCUAGUCUUUCCCAGUAAUGCCCUGGUUAGCGCACCGUGGCGGCGAUCCAGGAGCCUCCUGCUGGUGGUGGUGGUGGUGGUGGCUGGCUGGCUGGCUGUGGCGGGCGUGCACGUGCUAUCAUAUGGGUUGCGUGGUAGGUGCGUUCACUGGUCUGGGCUGUGUUGGUGCGUGUUCUGAAGAGAUGACCGCAGACACGCUGGCUGCUGAUGACUAUAUAGAGCCGCACAGAGGCAGUGUACUGUACAAGCUGGAUGGAAGUAUGCAAACCUCGCAAUGAAGAUGGAAAAGUAACAUGAACAAGGUUGUGGAUCUUCGGGUGUGGUGUGGAUGAGCAAGUGAGCGAGCUGGCAUUGGGAGCCGAGCGGGGGAGGCAGCCCGGCAUGUGUAGACUACGUGAGGAUGUAGGAAGAUUGUACUGUACUUAUGCUAUGGAAUGGUGUUGUUACUGUAAAGCAUACUUAAAGAUAAAAAUAUGGCUGAC